CAGUCGCCGCGGUAAUACGAAGGGGGCUAGCGUUGCUCGGAAUUACUGGGCGUAAAGCGCACGCAGGCGGCUCGAUAAAUUAGAAGUGAAAGCCUUGGGCUUAACCUGAGAAUUGCUUUUAAGACCGUCGAGCUAGAAUCCAGAAGAGGGUAGUGGAAUUCCGAGUGUAGAGGUGAAAUUCGUAGAUAUUCGGAAGAACACCAGUGGCGAAGGCGACUACCUGGUCUGGCAUUGACGCUCAUGUGCGAAAGCGUGGGGAGCAAACAGGAUUAGAUACCCCAGUAGUCCCUGUCUCUUAUAC
rnacentral:rRNA from 1 species